UACGUAGGGGGCUAGCGUUGUCCGGAUUUAUUGGGCGUAAAGAGCGUGUAGGCGGCUUGGUAGGUCCGCUGUGAAAACUCGAGGCUCAACCUCGAGAUGUCGGCGGAAACCACUUGGCUAGAGUCCGGAAGAGGAGAGUGGAAUUCCUGGUGUAGCGGUGAAAUGCGCAGAUAUCAGGAAGAACACCUAUGGCGAAGGCAGCUCUCUGGGACGGUACUGACGCUGAGGCGCGAAAGCGUGGGGAGCGAACAGG
rnacentral:rRNA from 1 species